CAGCAGGCAAGAGAAAGUGAAAUUUGUACGAGAGCAGAGGCGGGCAGCGGAUUGUGAUGGCUGGAUGUGAAGUGAGACCUAUGCAGGAUCAAAGAAGUGAAAUAAAAUAACUAUUAGCCCAGAAGUGUUGCGGUUUCUGGUGAACUCAUGACUGAGCAGCUUGUCAGUCUUAUGAGAAGGAGGUAACUAAGCCAGGAGGUGGUGAAAUAAGAUUAGCAGUAGAUGGAGGCCAGUAAAGUGGGAGCGGUUUAUGAAGUGAGAAGUAGAAAUCCCUAAGUAGGAUCACUGCUGUGCCAUAUGCUGCGAAAGACGUCAGAAAAAAAGUCUGGCUUAUCAAGGAAAUAGGACAAGGGACCUGACGCAAGACAGAGAACAAACAGCUCAGUUGGGCAUGCAGUGACAGUUUCUGGGGUUGUGGAGUUACUCAGCUAUGUUAGCAGAUCCGCUAAGUACUGGUAACUGAGUUCACUGUAAGUUGAAAUUAAUUCUACCUGAAUGGCAGUUCUGGGGCUCACUUACAGUACGAGAGUGAAGGUUGCAGCUGGUGUUGAGUAUGAUGGAGUGACGGGUCGGGGGUGAUGACAUGGAAGGUAACAUCUUCAUGCGUUGCAAAAUCUGUAACACCUACCGACGUACAUUGAAACACAAGGUCAGAUCUUAUUAGACUGUGUGGAAGAAUGCAGUUCAACAGUGGAAAGAGAAUAUAGUUUAGUCUUGUAAGGAUACUGUGUUCUGUAGAUUGUGUCUUUCUUUGCAACUAAGGAUUUGAAAGAUAAGGUGAUAAGGUUUGUGAGAAUGUUGUAGCUAGGUUUAUAAUUGUGAAUUUUUCUAAUCAACUAAAAUGUGAAUUGGAACAUUCCUUGCAAUGCAAAGCAAAGAUUUAAUCUGGGGUAAAUAGGAAUGACAUCUGUUCUCUAAGUCUGUCUUUAGAUGGAAUUUGUAGGUAAGUCAGCAAAUGAGUAACACGUAAUAAUACAUAGUAGCAAUAAUAAUGAAUGUAUCUACAUGUGGUUCUGUACUGGACCCAGAGCCGACGAAAUGUUUUCAUGUCUCUCACAAAGUACUGUGCAUGUCCAUUAUUAUAAACGAUUCUAUUUACCCUGAAUUUUUAAUAUUAUAGACUUUGCAUUUUGUUAUAGUCCAUUUGUAAAUACGAGUUGUUCAUAAGAUGGAUUUUUUUAACCUUGGGACUGCUUGUAGCCAGUGCAUAUUUCACCUGGUUGAAUACUGCAAAGUCUGUAUGUUACCCAGCAUGGAACUUAAAUAUUUGCAUUUUGUUCACCAGAAAAUGUCAAAUAAAAAUAAAAUAGAAUAAAUCAGUGAAUAAAGGAAGGAAAGGUAGUGAAAUAACAAAUGAUGAGAAUAAUGAAACUCUGGACAGAGUUGAGUCCAGGUUUAAAAUUGCAUUUGGGAGCAGCGUAGCGACCCACUGAGCUGUCCGGCUGUGAAGAAUAUUUCAGGGCAGAAUAAAGGAACGAAAUCCAAAAAGGAAAUAAAAAGGAAGGCUCUGCUUGCAUUUGAUGGGAAACACCACUUCUCCAUCUGCUUAUAAAAGAUAUAUGCAUGCAGAUGCAGGCUUCGUAUGGCACAAGGUAUACAAGAGAUACAACGGGAUGAAGGACUCAGUGGCCGUGGAGAAACACAAAGCAAGUCCUUUGAAUUGCAAGAAAAAAAAGGCUGGAAAUAAGUGAGAUCGCGAGGGAUCAAAGGGUGAACAAGGAAGGACACACAGGUGACAAGAAGAGACCCCAGACAGAGAGCCUAGAACCUGGCUGUCCAUCCCGCAAGCCAGGAUUUCUGCCUGCUGGUUCCUGAGACUACUGGGCAGCAUAUUGCAGGAAACAGGUAAUCAAAGGGGCUUUGGGAUGCUGAAUGGCUGCUUGACUUUAGGAUGACUUGUAUAGGAGGUUGACUCGAGUGCAGAACACUGGAAAAGCAGGAACUGGCACUUCAACCUGGGAACAAUACAAAAAGGACUAAAGGUGAGCUUAAUAUCUGGUUGAAACAAGUAUCCGGCACAUAUAAUUUGAUCUUUCAGAAGCCAAUUGCCAUCAGAUCAUUACUGACAUUAUCUGUGCUGUUUCCUUCUGUUUGCAGGGAAGCCAUAAUGCUCAUUGGACUGUUUACUGCCCCUCCUACAUAAACAUUAACUACACAAAGUUCUCCUUUCCAGAUACCAGUGUAUGUCUGAGGGCUCCAAAAUCCCUGUGUGAUCAUUUUGUGAUUUAUCUAAAUUACAUACAGAAACACCCAAUUGCAUAUGUAAAUUCUCUUGUGUGUCUUAUUUUAUCAAUUUUAAAAUCUCUUGGUUUGUUGCACAGAUCUGCCUUCCUCCUGUAGUCCCCAGGAUAGGCUCCUUAAUAGGACAAUUUGGUUACAGAAAAUGUAUGGAUGAAUGGAUGGAUGAAUGGAUAUUGCAUUCAUAAACUAAACAUAAAUGCACAUUUAGAUGCACAUACCUGUAUGCUUGGGCAGUAUUUAUUUAUAAUGUUACGACAUUAUACUGCAGUAUAAUAUGGUAUUUCAAUGGUAUUUGUAUUAUGGGUACUGUGUAGGAUGUACCAUUUCGGCCUCUUUUAUAUAUAGAUUAUAUAUGUAUGAUACAUGAUCUUACAUGAUACUGGUGGUCACAUUUAUAUAUGGCCAAACAUGGAUUGUAUAUGCAUUCUUCAUGCAACAUACUCAAUAUAGAUGGUCAGUACAAAACAAAUAAGGGUCACAUGCAUUCUUACAAGAUGUUUUUAUAUGAGAAUAUUCACAAAAUUGUAAAUUUCCCAUUUAAACUACACCCACAUCCAGUAUUAAGCCCCAUUCAUUAUGGAUAUGGAUUCAGGUCAUUUUGUUAGUUGAACAGACACAGAUACAGUACAGAUACUCCUGUGCUUGCUCACCCCUACAGCAAAAUUUAAACGAGAUGCAAGCCGCACUGCACACCAGCUGAGGAAUUCUAGCUAACCAUGACCAUGAAAAUAAGAUGCCAGUAAACCAAAGCUGUAAAAAGAUCCUGGCAACCAGAACCACACAUGUGAUGAUGAUGCACCGGAAGAUGAAAUGCAAACAAACUAACCCCCACAAAAUCAGAAGCUGGGCUCCAAAGCAAGUGCUGAGCCAUAGCCUCAGUGAGCCUUGAUGACCGAGCACUGAGCCAUGCAUAGUGAAGCUCACUGAGCCAAGCACCUCUGGCUUGCAGCAAGAUGAAACACACUGAAUAGCCUGUUUAUAGAAGAGUUCCG